rnacentral:rRNA from 1 species
GGUUAAGUUAGAAAGGGCGCACGGUGAAUGCCUUGGCACUAGGAGCCGAUGAAGGACGGUACUAACACCGAUAUGCUUCGGGGAGCUGUAAGUAAGCUUUGAUCCGGAGAUUUCCGAAUGGGGAAACCCCCUAUCCGUA